rnacentral:rRNA from 1 species
AGAGUUUGAUCAUGGCUCAGAACGAACGCUGGCGGCAUGCCUAACACAUGCAAGUCGAACGGGAUCCGAGCUUCGGUUCGGUGAGAGUGGCGAACGGGUGAGUAACGCGUGGGAACCUGCCCAGAGGUACGGAAUAACAGUUGGAAACGACUGCUAAUACCGUAUGAGCCCGAGAGGGGAAAGAUUUAUCGCCUUUGGAGGGGCCCGCGUCAGAUUAGGUAGUUGGUGGGGUAACGGCCUACCAAGCCGACGAUCUGUAGCUGGUCUUAGAGGAUGAUCAGCCACACUGGGACUGAGAUACGGCCCAGACUCCUACGGGAGGCAGCAGUGGGGAAUAUUGGACAAUGGGGGCAACCCUGAUCCAGCAAUGCCGCGUGAGUGAUGAAGGCCUUCGGGUUGUAAAGCUCUUUUGCCAGGGACGAUAAUGACGGUACCUGGAGAAUAAGCCCCGGCUAACUUCGUGCCAGCAGCCGCGGUAAUACGAAGGGGGCUAGCGUUGUUCGGAAUUACUGGGCGUAAAGGGCGCGUAGGCGGUCUGAUAAGUUAGGUGUGAAAUUCCCGGGCUUAACCUGGGCGCUGCACUUAAUACUGUCGGGCUUGAAUCCGGGAGAGGAUAGCGGAAUUCCCAGUGUAGAGGUGAAAUUCGUAGAUAUUGGGAAGAACACCAGUGGCGAAGGCGGCUAUCUGGACCGGCAUUGACGCUGAGGCGCGAAAGCGUGGGGAGCAAACAGGAUUAGAUACCCUAGUAGUCC